rnacentral:rRNA from 1 species
UACGGGGGGGGCAAGCGUUGUUCGGAAUUACUGGGCGUAAAGGGCUGGUAGGCGGCCAACUAAGUCGGAUGUGAAAUCCCCAGGCUUAACCUGGGAACUGCAUCCGAUACUGGUCGGCUUGAAUCCGGGAGAGGGAUGCAGAAUUCCAGGUGUAGCGGUGAAAUGCGUAGAUAUCUGGAGGAAUACCGGUGGCGAAGGCGGCAUCCUGGACCGGCAUUGACGCUGAGGUGCGAAAGCGUGGGGAGCAAACAGG